GACGAACGCUGGCGGCGUGCUUAACACAUGCAAGUCGAACGGGCGCUGUCGCCUUUUUUUUUGGGGGUGGGGGUAGUGGGGGAGGGGAGAGAAACACGUGAGUAACCUGCCCCUGACUUCUGGAUAACCGCUUGAAAGGGUGGCUAGUACGGGGGGUUCUAGGCUGCGGGCGGGGGUGGGUAUGGAAAGUUUGGCUGGGGGGGGCUGUGUUGGUGGGGGAUGGGCUCGCGACAGAUCAUCUUGUGGGUGGGGGGAUGGCCUGCCAGUGCGUUGGCGGGUAGCCGGCCUGAGAAGGUGGGCCGUCACACUGGGACUGAGACGCUGCCCAGUCUUCUACGGGAGGCAGCAGUGGUGAAUAUUGCACAAGGGGCGCAAGUCUGAUGCAGCGGCGCCGCGUGUGGGAUGGGGGCCUUCGUGUUGUAAACCUCUUUCGCGAGAGAAGAAGGUCCUGCUCUUUGUGGUGGGGUUGUCGGUAGCUUGGUUAAUGAAGCGCCGGCUAACUACGUG
rnacentral:rRNA from 1 species